CUAAUUAAGCAUCACACCAAUAGGAGCAGCUGCACUGGUGGAUGUUCUCCGGGGGACAAUAGCCACCUCCAUGAUCGUAAUUGUUGCUACAGAAUUUGUUGCACCGCUCCGGUGAGCAUUCGGCCCUCGAGAACAUGUCUUUCCUGCAUGUCUUCUUCUUCUUCUCUCCCUCUUGUCCUGAUUUCCAUUAAAUUUAAAUUAUAAGUCUUAAGUGACAGUAAAUCCAACGAUGAAAACCCAUUAUCUAACUAUAACAUUAAGUAAAAUCACAGUAUACGAUCGAGAUAAAAAGAUAAUGGUUAUUUAUCUACGAUCAAUUAUACUUGUUCGAUCGACCAUUAUCGAUAUACAUGCAAUGUUACAAAAAUAAAAUAUUUUGAUUCGAUCAAUAGGAGGGACAGGCAAAAAACAAAAUAUCAAUUAGUGAGUUGGAAUAAUUAAUAUAAAAUUAUAAAAGAAUAUCGAAGAAAAAAUGAUAAGGUCAAUUCAUAGUAGACAUAUUUUUCGUAGAUAAUAUAAAAUUAUCUAUAAAAUAAAUCUCAAGUUAUAAAAAAAUCACAACCGUCAGGGUUUACCCGUUAUUAGAUUACAAUAAUCGAUGUCUCAACAUAAAAACAUUAUAAUGAUGACAAAAAAUAUUUGAUAAUAUAAAUGUUUAAAAAAUGAAUAAAAAAUUAUUAAAGAUAACAUAACUGUCAUAUAAAAUAUAAAAAAAAAAAGUGUGUCGAUAUAUUAUCAUAGCAUGAAAUUUCACGUUAAUAUAAUAUGUAACAACAAUAAGUAACAUAAAUAUAUCAAAACGGAAAACAAAUGACAAAAAUAUAAAAAUUAGUAUUGUGAAUUCUUCGUCUUGUAGAGAUUUGAUCAUAUAAUCGUAGAGAAACGAUAAAUGAUCAAACAAGAUAUAAAGAACAUCAUAAUAUAUAUAUGUGACGAAGUUGAAGAUGAUAAGAGGAACGAGGAGAAGAGAACCUUCGGUGAUAUGAAGAAGGAGGAGAGCGAUGAACAAGAACACCCAAAUCGACUUCAUUUCCUUUUCCUCGGAUCGACAAUUUAGAGAGAUCCUAAUUCUUUUUGGUGCUCACAACAAUCUAUCAUGGAAAUUUAUAGAGAUCCAUACUCGAGCCUUAGCGUUUAUUUCCUUAUAAACGUAACAAUUAAAUAGCACAUUGAUGAGAAGAUAUUAUUACUUCAUUGUUUCCCAUAACAAAGUAAAGGAAUAUGGAAGGUUUUAUAUAUCGACAAAUUCAUAUAUCAAACAUUCUUAUUAUUUUUAUAUAUCAACAAAGAUAUUUGUUUUAUUAUAUUUGUUUUAUUAUAUUUGUUAUAUUCAUUGUGUUAUGUCAAAUACUAAUCCAAGACACAAUUUGGAGAUAUUAUUCCAUGUUUAUCUACCCAAUCGAUUACAUCCCAUACAAAGAAACUCCAAUGAAAUUAAAAUACCAAAAAAAAGAGUCACAUAUCCCAAGUCGUUGCCUCUCUCUCUCUCUCUUGUCAAGAUAUAAAUCAAGUCAAUUUGAUUGCAUAAAAAUAAUUUUGACAUUAACAAUGUUUAAUAACAGGGUAGCUUAAGUUUCAUUAUUAAUACACUACACUCCAACAUGAACCCUAAUUAAGCAUCACACCAAUAGAAGCAGCUGCAUUCAUUGAUGUUCUCCGGAGGACAAUAGCCAACUCCAUGAUCGUAACUUUGUGCAUACGUCGCUCGAGAACGUGUCUUUCCUGCAUGUCUUAUUCUUCUCUCCCUUCUCUUGUCCUGACUUCCAUUAAAUUAAAUUAUAAAUCAUAAUAAAUAUUUUUUUUUCUUAUUUUUAAUAAUUUAAAUUAAAAAUAAAUCUUAUGUGAUAGCAAAUCCAACAAUGUAAAUUAUUUAUCUACGAUUAAUUAUAGUGCACCAUUAUCAAUAUAAUUGAAUGUCGAGAAAACAAAUAACAAAUUAUAUUUCAAUCAUCAAUGUGUCUCAAUAGAAAUACACUAUAAUGAUGACACAUUAAAUACACCUCCAUGCAUUCAUAUUUGCUUUCUUGUUUGACAAAAAUAAAAAUAAAAACUAUAUUUUGAAGUAAAUAUUAAUUUCAUGGUAAAAAUUAAAAUUUACUCUUGAGACCAAAUUAUGAUAGUCGAAAUUUAUACAAGACUAAGCAUAUCAAAUAUUAAAAUUAUUUAAUUAUAUAAAUAUUUAAAAGAUAAAUAAAUAAUAUUUUCCUCGUCCCAAAAAUAUAAAUAUUAUAAUAUAAAAUUAUAAUAUUUUUCAUCAUGAUCAUAAGCGCAAUAAAAAAAUGAAUGAUGGGAGAACAAGAUAUAGAUAGAGAACACCAUAAUAUACAUGUGAUGAAGUACAAGAUGGUAAAGGAAUGGGGAGAAGAGAACCUUCGCUGUUGUGAAAAAAGAUGAGAGCGAUGAACAAGAAUGCCCAAAUCGACUUCAUCUUCUAUUCGUGCUCACGACAAAUCGGAUCGAGAAUUUAGAGAGUUCCCAAUUCUUUUUGGUGCUCA
rnacentral:lncRNA from 1 species